rnacentral:rRNA from 1 species
ACCGCAUACGUCCUACGGGAGAAAGCAGGGGACCUUCGGGCCUUGCGCUAUCAGAUGAGCCUAGGUCGGAUUAGCUAGUUGGUGAGGUAAUGGCUCACCAAGGCGAGGAUCCGUAACUGGUCUGAGAGGAUGAUCAGUCACACUGGAACUGAGACACGGUCCAGACUCCUACGGGAGGCAGCAGUGGGGAAUAUUGGACAAUGGGCGAAAGCCUGAUCCAGAAGUGCCGCGUGUGUGAAGAAGGUCUUCGGAUUG